CGGGGUGUGGCUCAGUUGGUAGAGCGCUGCGCUUGGGACGCAGAGGCCAUCGGUUCGAAUCCGGUCACUCCGA
rnacentral:tRNA from 1 species